UACAGGGGGUGCAAACGUUGCUCGGAAUUAUUGGGCGUAAAGCGCGCGUAGGCGGCCGCUUAAGUCGGAUGUGAAAGCCCCUGGCUCAACUGGGGAAGUGCACCCGAAACUGAGUGGCUUGAGUACUAAAGAGGGUCGCGGAAUUCCCGGUGUAGAGGUGAAAUUCGUAGAGAUCCGGAGGAACCCCAGAGGCGAAGGCGGCGUCCUGGCUCGCAUCUGACGCUCAGACACGACAGCAUGGGGAGCGAACGGG
rnacentral:rRNA from 1 species